AGAGUUUGAUCCUGGCUCAGAAUCAACGCUGGCGGCGCGCUUAACACAUGCAAGUCGCACGAGAAAGGGGAGCAAUCCCUGAGUACAGUGGCGUACGGGUGAGUAACACGUGGGUAAUCUACCUCUUAGUGGGGAAUAACCCUGGGAAACCGGGGCUAAUACCGCAUAAGCCUGAGAAGGGAAAGCAGCAAUGCGCUGAGAGAGGAGCCCGCGGCCGAUUAGCUAGUUGGCAGGGUAAAAGCCUACCAAGGCAGAGAUCGGUAGCCGGCCUGAGAGGGCACACGGCCACACUGGCACUGAAACACGGGCCAGACUCCUACGGGAGGCAGCAGUGGGGAAUCUUGCACAAUGGGGGCAACCCUGAUGCAGCGACGCCGCGUGAGCGAUGAAGCCCUUCGGGGUGUAAAGCUCUUUCGGCAGGGAAGAUGAUGACGGUACCUGCAGAAGCAGCUGCGGCUAACUACGUGCCAGCAGCCGCGGUAAUACGUAGGCAGCGAGCGUUGUUCGGAGUUACUGGGCGUAAAGGGUGUGUAGGCGGUUCUUUAAGUUUGGUGUGAAAUCUCCCGGCUCAACCGGGAGGGUGCGCCGAAUACUGAGGGACUAGAGUGCGGGAGAGGAAAGUGGAAUUCCUGGUGUAGCGGUGAAAUGCGUAGAUAUCAGGAGGAACACCGGUGGUGUAGACGGCUUUCUGGACCGUAACUGACGCUGAGACACGAAAGCGUGGGUAGCAAACAGGAUUAGAUACCCUAGUAGUCC
rnacentral:rRNA from 1 species